CUGUUAAUGUUUCCGUCUAGCGUGGGGGGAACAGUUAUUAUGCGCACACAGCUACGUCACGUCAUAUUUCCAUAAUGGCGACCCCUAUGAUGGAACUUCCCAAGAUCUCUGUGUUUGACCCACUGAAGGGUCUCCUGCUGACCUAUUUCAUGCCAGAAUCGUGUUACGACGAGUUUUUCAUACAUUUUAACUUUCUGGAUGUACCAUGUCUGAAGAUUGUGCUAAGCAAAGGUCUGGGCAUCGGAAUCAUCCUGGGGUCUGUGAUGGUGAAGCUGCCCCAGAUCCUGAAGCUGAUGGGGGCUAAGAGUGCCGAGGGUCUGAGCUUCAACUCUGUUCUGCUAGAGCUGCUGGCUAUCACAGGAACCAUGACCUACAGCAUCGCUAACAGCUUCCCCUUCAGUGCCUGGGGUGCCUCACCUGUUCCUCAUGUUACAGACUGUAGCCAUCGGGUUCCUCAUCAUGCACUAUGGAGGCAACACAGUCAAAGGUGUCCUGUUCCUGGGGGUGUAUUUUGGCCUGGUGGCUCUGCUGCUCUCCCCCUUCACCCCCAUGUCUGUGGUCAUGGCCAUGCAGGCCUCCAACAUGCCAGCUAUCAUCAUCGGCAGGCUGAUCCAGGUAGUGACUAACUAUGGGAACGGACACACAGGACAGCUGUCUGCCAUCACUGUGUUUAUGCUGUUCGCUGGCUCCCUGGCUCGUAUAUUCACCUCAGUACAGGAAACAGGUGACUCCCUGAUGGCCCUGACCUAUGUCAUAUCCUCUUCCUGUAACGGCCUCAUCGCUGCCCAGCUCCUGUACUACUGGAACAGCAGCUCCACACUGAAGAAGAAGACGGAGUAGACUGGACACUAAGGCAGUCUAUAAUGGGAACUUAGUUUUGAAGUAGCGCACUAUAUAAAGACUAGGGUGCCAUUCAAGAUGCAGACAAUGACCGAGAGAUUAUAUACAAGUGUGUAUGGAUCUAAUAUGGCACCCUAUAACUAUGUAGUUCACUACUUUUGACAGGACUAUUGGCUCUUAUCGAAAGUAACACCCCAUUCCCAAUAUAGUGCACUACUUUGGACUCUACUAGGGCACUAUAUAUGGGGUGACAUUUACCCAAUACGAAGACUGCAGGCCCCUACUAUAGCCUAGCCGUGGACCAAAUCAACUUCUAUUCCCACUACCCAAACCAAGCUUAUGCCCAGUUAGAAGUUAGAAUAGUUCACAGAGAAAUCUCCUAGGUUUUGUAUCAGUGUUUGAGCUCAGGGAAGGAAGGCUUGACCCUCUUGUUAGUCCAUCUUAAACACUGAUUCUACUAGAUGGAGGUGCCGACACACUCAAUGCAAUCUGUUUCUUUAUACCUCCCCAACAAUGUAUUCCAUUGUUCCAGUUAUAUUACAUGGGUUGUUCUCGGAACAGACUCUAGAAUGAGAACAUUCUAGAACACAACCAGGAAGUUGGCUAAUAGCUGUAAUCAAGGGGUCAAGCAAUAGAGAGGUACACUGUGAAAUUCUGUCAGUAUGUUUGAGAAAAAUGUUAGGUAGUUUGCACAUUGUGGCUUGAGUGCGAGCAAAGAGGUCUUGGCUGAAGUUGUCCCUCGACGCUCAUUUUAGGCCAGUUCCUUCGGGGGGGGACGUCAGCAGGCAAUCAGAAGAACUGUACUGAGCCAAACAGUUGUUAGUCCAAGAUGCAGUCGCACCUUUUACGUUUUUUUCUGUUUGUUUCUUUGUCCGUAGGAUCAGUAGUUAAAUCAUUCAAAUUUGAUUCAGAAUAAAACUGGGAGCAGAAAUGUGGGCGCGUUGUAGUGUGAUGUUGAAGUCCAACUUCUCUGUAUAGUUUCUGUUUACCUGUUGAGAUUGAACUUCUAAUCGUGUUAUGGUGCCUCUUGCGGGUUGCACGCCAGUGCUACGGUUCUGAUGAUGGUAAGAAAGUUGAUUUUAAAUGUGAACAUUUCAUAAAAUAUGUUUUGUUUUUGUUGGGACUGCUCCAGCGUGUCUGUCGUUGUGGGUCUUAUAUCUAGAAGGAUAUUUAUCUCAAAUCCAGGCUGCAUCACAUCCGGUCAUGAUUGGUCCCAUAAGGCGGCACACAAUUGGCCCAGCGUCGUCCGGGUUUGGCAGGGGUGGGCCGUCAUUGAAAAUAAUAAUUUGUUCUUAACUGACUUGCCCAGUUAAACAUCUUUAAAAAUGAUAUAGUGUCACCAGUAGAUGGAGACAAACUUUCACCCAUUAUUACAUACAUAAUCUUAGUUCUCUCAAAGUAGAGGUGUGAGGAUCUUGUUCUCUGUUGAUGCCUAGACUCACUACUUUUUAGCUUUUAAUCAGUGAGUAAUAAAUAUGUUAUAUAGAUUAA